rnacentral:rRNA from 1 species
UUAAGAAUCUUGCGCAAUGGACGAAAGUCUGACGCAGCGACGCCGCGUGAAGGAUGAAGGCUUUCGGGUUGUAAACUUCAGUAGACUGGGAAGAAAAAGUAAGUUCGUUGAGGGCUUACAUUGACGGUACCAGUCCAAAGCACCGGCUAACUACGUGCCAUCAGCCGCGGUAAUACGUAGGGAGCAAGCGUUGUUCGGAUUUACUGGGCGUAAAGGGCGCGUAGGCGGCGCGGUAAGUCACUUGUGAAAUCUCUGAGCUUAACUCAGAACGGCCAAGUGAUACUGCUGUGCUAGAGUGCGGAAGAGGCAACCGGUAUUCUGGGUGUAUCGGUGAAAUGCGUGGAUAUCAAGAGGAACACCUGAGGCGAAGUCGGGUUGCUGGGCCGACACUGACGCUGAUGCGCGAAAGCCAGGG